rnacentral:rRNA from 1 species
AUUGAACGCUGGCGGCAGGCCUAACACAUGCAAGUCGAACGAGUGGCGGACGGGUGAGUAAUGUCUGGGAAACUGCCCGAUGGAGGGGGAUAACUACUGGAAACGGUAGCUAAUACCGCAUACCAUCGGAUGUGCCCAGAUGGGAUUAGCUUGUAGGUGAGGUAACGGCUCACCUAGGCGACGGUCCCUAGCUGGUCUGAGAGGAUGACCAGCCAGACUGGGUCUGAGACACGGUCCGGACUCCGACGGUAGGCAGCAGUUGGGAAUAUUGCACAAUGGGCGCAAGCCUGAGGCAGCCAUGCCGGGUGUAUGAAGAAGGCCUUCGGGUUGUAAAGUACUUGCAGCGGGGAGGCGUUACCCGCAGUAGAAUCACCGGCUAACUCCGUGCCAGCAGCCUCGUUAAUAC